CAAAGCAGACUUGUUCUGCGAUGGCGUGCCUUUUGAAGAAUGAGCCAACGAGUUACGGUGUGUGGCAAGGUUAACCCGAUGAGGGGAAGCCGGAGCGAAAGCGAGUCUGAACAGGGCGUUCAGUCGCAUGCCGUAGACCCGAAGCCGAGUGAGCUAUCCAUGGGCAGUGUGAAGCGGAGGUAAGACUCUGAGGAGGCGCGAACCGACUUCAGUUGAAAAUGGAGCGGAUGACCUGUGGAUAGGGGUGAAAGGCCAAUCAAACUCGGUGAUAGCUGGUUCUCCGCGAAAUGCAUUUAGGUGCAGCGUCGUGCGUUCAACGAUGGGGGUAGAGCACUGAAUGGGCUAGGGGUCCUACAAGACUACCGACCCCAAUCAAACUCCGAAUACCAUCGUUCCAGAGCACGGCAGUGAGACCUCGGGGGAUGAGCUUCGAGGUCGAGAGGGAAACAGCCCAGACCGCCGGCUAAGGUCCCAAAAUCUGAACUAAGUGGUAAACGAUGUGAGAUUGCGAAGACAGCCAGGAGGUUGGCUUGGAAGCAGCCAUCCUUGAAAGAGUGCGUAACAGCUCACUGGUCGAGUGAUCUUGCGCGGACAAUGUAACGGGGCUCAAGUUCAGUACCGAAGCCGCGGAUGCGACUCUUUGAGUCGUGUGGUAGCGGAGCGUCGAGCGUGCAGCGAAGCGGCGGGACAACCCAGCCGUGGAGCGCGUUCGAGUGCGAAUGUUGGCAUGAGUAGCGAAUGGGGGGUGAGAACCCCCUCCGCCGUAUGUCCAAGGGUUCCUGGGCGAGGCCAAUCCUCCCAGGGUGAGUCGGGAGCUAAGGCGAGGCCGAGAGGCGUAGUCGAUGCACAACUGGUUGAUAUUCCAGUACCACCAUGUUCGCGUCCGUCCCAAUACUCUGUUGCUAAGGGGCUGUGUUGACUUCGGUCAACGCGAACCGACCCACAUUGUUGCGGGAAGCUGUAGGGGGACGCAGGAAGGUAGAUGAACCCGGUGAAUGGUAGAACCGGGGUAAGCGUGUAGGAGGAGGACCAGGUAAAUCCGGGCCUCAUAAACUCUGAGACGUGAUACCGAGCCGCUUCAGGCGAAGUCAUUGAUCCUAUGCUGCCUAGAAAAGCCCAGCAGCGAGUUGACAUGGUGCCCGUACCCCAAACCAACACAGGUGGACUGGUAGAGCAUACCAAGGCGAGUGGGAUAACUAUGGUUAAGGAACUCGGCAAAUUGCCUCCGUAACUUCGGGAGAAGGAGGACCCCAGUAGCGUGAUGAGACUUGCUCUCUGAGCGUGAAGGGGUGGCACAAAAUUGAGGGAAGCGACUGUUUACCAAAAACACAGCAGCGUGCUAAGCCGUAAGGCGCUGUAUACGCUGUGACUCCUGCCCGGUGCUGGAAGGUUACGGGGAUGGGUUAGUCCUUCGGGACGAAGCUCUGAACCUAAGCCCCAGUAAACGGCGGCCGUAACUAUAACGGUCCUAAGGUAGCGAAAUUCCUUGUCGGGUAAGUUCCGACCUGCACGAAUGGAGUAACGACUUCCCUACUGUCUCAACCAUAGACCCAGCGAAAUUGAAGUACGAGUAAAGAUGCUCGUUAGCUGCAGAAGGACGGAAAGACCCCGUGGACCUUUACUAUAACUUGAUGUUGUGUU
rnacentral:rRNA from 1 species